GGUUGGUCUGAGUGCAGUGGUGUUUACAACUAAUUGAUCACAGCCAGUUACAGAUUCCUUUGUUCCUUCUCCACUCUCUCUGCUUCACCUGACCAGCCUAAA
rnacentral:Y_RNA from 1 species